rnacentral:lncRNA from 1 species
UGCAUUGUGUCCAUGUCUGAACCAUAACUAGUGCUGGAAACGAAUUCUUGCAAAUUGACUUUCAUUCUAUCUUGAUUUACAAGUUGUUGAUUCUUCUGUGAAAAAUAGGGUAAUACCUCCUGGAAGAGAUCCUUGCGGGACAUGAGAAUUCUCUGAGAAAGCAACAUCUGUGGGAGAAUUUAGCUUCUGUGCAGUCGGCUGUUCAUUUCAGGAAGAAUUGAAACAGGAUUUAUGAAGUCUUCUAGUAGCAGAAUGUCGCAGCUGGGACUUACGGGGGAGAGGGUUCAGCCGCAGAGUUCCAACUCUAUACAGUUCCACCAACAUGAUCUACCUGUUGAAGGAACAUCUACCCUCCAAUUUCCUCCAACUAAUGCAUUUGGAGGGACCAGUAGCUGCGCAAUUCUGAUUUCAUUGCUCGGGGGUUUAGGCAUCUACAAAUGGAUAUACGGUAAGCAACGCAAAAAAAAGACCGACCACUCGGAAACAAAUGAUGGUUGAUGCAUUGGCCUCCAAUAUCACAGGAGGAAGAAAGACAAGACACCAGUCAAGGCGAGCUGAUAUUAGUAAUUUUCAAUCCCUUAUGGAUAUGCACCAAACUGCCUCCGGACCUCUUUGGGAUAAUUUCAGUAGUGAUGGACCGUGUUGCGUAUGAUUCGAAGCAAUUCUUUGACGCUUCCAUACCUGUAGUACCAUUUAUCCUUCCUGUAACUGCAAAGCUGCUUCAGCAAAUCAGGUUCCAUCUCUCUGUCCCAGGUGUAGAAAAAUAUUUCAGUUCCAACGCUCUUCAAUGCAUUCAGGAGGUCCGACCCUUCCGUUUUCAUUUCGACCCGAUCACUAACUACCUGAAUAAAUGUUAGUUUUUUCUCUACUGUCCAGAACAACGGGUGAUCCACAACGUCUCCAGCCUGAGGCCUGUCACAAAUCAAGGCAAAUGCAUCGAAACUCAAAAGCUGGAUUCGAAACAGACUUGCAAAUAAAAAAUCGACGAAAUCUGAUUACCUAUUAUCAGGAUCGUAAUCCAGAAGGGAAGAUAACAAAUUGAGCGCUUCUGGUAUUCUCUCUAUUAAAGACAAAUCCUUUCUAUCAUGCCCAAUAUUUUGAUGUCGGACAACGUCUUCGUCUCCGAAAGGGUGCUUGCCAGUUGGGGUGCAAUAAAACAAGAUACAUCCUACACUAAACAUAUCUUUACAAUAAUAUAACUAGUUUUAGCAUCAUCUAUCUAAACUCUUCUAGGCUAUAUUUACCGGUCACAUCCCUUUGUUUCCGAAAGGGUGCUUGUCAAGCUUGCGAGGAAAGACUCCUUAGGGAUAGGAAGUCUUUGACUCGGGAUGUGACCGGUAAGUAUAGCCUAGAAGAGUUUAGAUAAAUGAUGGUAAAACUAGUUAUGUUAUCUGUGAAGAUAUGUUUAGUCUAGGAUGCAUCUUGUUUUAUUGCAUCACAGUUGGCAAGCACCCUUUCAAAGACUAACAUGUUGUCCGACAUCAAAAUAGUGAGCAUGCUAGAAAGGACUUGUCCUUAAUAGAGAGAAUACCAGAAGCGCUUAAUUUGUUAUCUUCCCUCCUGGAUUACGAUCCUGAUAAUAGGUAAUCAUAUUUUGUCGAUUUUUUAUUUGCAAGCCUGUUUUGAAUCUGACUUUUGAGUUUCGAUACAUUUGCCUUGAUUUGUGACAGGCCUUAGGCUGGAGACGUUGUAGAUCAUCCGUUGUUCUGGACAGUAGAGAAAAAACUGACAUUUAUUCAAGUAGUUAGUGAUCGGGUCGAAAUGGAAACGGAAGGGUCGGACCUCCUGAAUGCAUUGAAGAGCGUUGGAACUGAAAUAUUUUUCUACACCUGGGACAAAGAGAUGGAACCUGAUUUGCUGAAACAGCUUUGCAGUUACAGGAAGGGUAAAUGGUACUAUAGGUAUGGCAGCGUCAAAAAAUUGCUUCAAAUCAUACGCAACACGGUCCAUCACUACUUGGAUUAUCCCGAAGAAAUCUAAGGGGAGUUUGGUGCAUAUCCAGAAGGGAUCGAUAAUUACAUUCAAUAUCCGAACCUGGUGAUGGAGGCAUACAAGGUAAUGAGUAGAACAUUGCAGGGAUGAGUCUGUCUUCAGGAACUACAGGAGUUACAUAGGAAGAUAAUUACAUCUCUGUAAGUAGUGGAGGGUUGUUAUGUUAAAGGUCCUGUUCGUAACUUUCAUAUAUUGUUGUUGAUAAGUUUGAUAUAUGGUUGUUGUUAGUAGCUAAAGGAUCUCGAUGAGGGAGUUAGUGGAGCUUGGUAUCGGGAGUCAGAUGAGCAAUAAGAAGCCUAUAUAUAGUACUGUGGAUCAUGGACGAGUCCGUUACGAGCUAGGAAACGCAUCGAAAUCCUAUCCACGACGCAUCGAAAUCAAUAGGUAAUUAAGUCCAUGUCUCAAGGCUGAAAUCAUUUCUAUCUCCCAUCAAAUAAGACUUUUUUCUUUGCUUUAAUUUCAAACCCUUGCAGGUAGGGUUUGACUUCAUACCGUAAUAAUAAUCAUCUCUUAUUUCAUUGUUGAGAUCCUUGAUUAUCGAAAUAUUAAAAACCUCGGAUAUUUCGAUAAUCAAGGAUCUUAACAAUAAAAGAAGAGAUAAUUAUAACAAAAUUAUCUAUUAUAAAGUAAGAGAUAAUUAUUAUAUUCAAUUUAGUUGCCUUGUUCGUAGGAGAAGGAUUUCGAUACAGUUCAGGAGAAGGGCUUUCUAUAUAUACAUGUAUCCUUUCUUCUUGGUCGAUCCAAGCUAAUAUGGUUUAUUCAUACAUAAUCGGCGCCUCGUUACUCCCCAAGUAUUUUCGUAACAGUAUAAGCAGAGAGGCAGAGCCAGAUGAGAUCAAGAAUAUUAUUAUUACGGACAGACUGAGCGAUCUUCCUGACCAUAUUUUGCACCACAUUCUCUCCUUCCUCGACACUCAAUCAUCCGUGCAGACCAGCAUUCUGUCGAGGAGGUGGAGAUCUUUGUGGAAGUACGUUCCGAUUCUCACCUUCGACACAGACCUAUUCAGGACGCAGCUCGAUUUCGAGCACCAUGUGGACCGCUUUCUAUCUCUUCGUUCCGGAUUUAGCGUCUGCCAAAUUAGCACCCUAGUAGGCAUAGACGUGGCACUGAACAGCAUCGAUGUUUUCGAUAGGAUCAUCAAACACGCCGCCUCUCACGGUAUCCAACACUUAAACGUGGGCAGGCUUCUAGGUCACCCUGUAGCAGGCAAAUCCGCCGUUACAGCAGUCUCCGGUUGCUACCGGUCUCUCAAGAUUCUGGAAUUAAAUUAUACAGAGUUGGACGAGGCAGCUGUCCGAUCGUUGUCUCGUCUCCAACAGCUCGAGACUCUCAAGCUCUAUGUCUGCCGCUUCAAUGGCUUGCCGGAGGAUGGUUUUGCUAGAUUGGAAAACUUAGAACUGCUUUCUUGCUCUCCUCGUCCUUGUUCAUCGGAUAGAGCUCUGAAAAUAUAUGGAACCCAACUGCUGAGGUUGGCGAUGCGUCGGACAUUUUUUUGCAGUAUCGAAAUUGUCGCACCUAAGCUCGAAUACCUGUGUUUUUGGCAUUCCAAUAUGACGUUUCUAACCGACUUUUCCAAGUCGAAGCUUCCUUGCCUGGAUCGUGCAGAUGUUUACUUGGGUGUGAUCAACCAUGAGUUGUCGGACAUAUCGAAGAAGCAACCGAUACUCGAGUGGUGUGCAAGUUUGUUCAAUGUUUUGUAUAACAUAAGGUCUUUGGAUUUGGAAAUGCAUACCUUUGAGCUGUUGAUCCAGACUUGUGACAUAGUGAAGCAUCAAUCUUCUCCCUUUAAACGAAUAAAGUCGUUAAAUUUGAAGUACUUUCAAGGAUCCCACGAGUUACCCUAUGAAGUCAUUCGCUACUUUCUCCAAGGCUCCCGUGAUGAAGAACUUAAGCCGCAUUUUACCAUUGAGAAGUCACGUUAGGCAACUCUAAAAUCUAGCUACCAUCUCCUUUCGUAGGGCAGUUCUAUAUGUAGGACUGAAGUUUAAUCUAAUGUUUGAUUUUUUUUUGUUGCAUUUUACUUUAAUAAUGUGAUCAUUAUUCUUGAGCUAGACUGGACUGAUACAUCUUUCAGUCUACUUCAUCUUAUAUCAAUUACAAGGUCAAGUUCGAUGCUUGCAUUGCAAUUUCUAACCACCGUCCACGGGACGACUGUAUAAACGAUGUACGAAACACAAUGUGGAUGAAAACGAAACGAAAUCAAAACUCGGUAUCUUGAGCAAAAACGAAACUCGAUCUAUACGUGGGAAAAUUGCAGCAUUGUUUACUGUAUGAACUCACUCACUCACUCUAUCACAGCAGCACAAACAUACCCCUAAACUUAAGCACUUUCACGAAGAUUUUGACACUUUGAGCAACCGAACUUGAGCAUAUCCUAGAUAGUAUGGGAAACAAUCAUCCACAAUUAAACUUGUUCCAUGAAUGAAAAGGGAUAUUGUCGAUUUUACUAACUUGACGGCCUUGAUCAUCCAUUGGUAUGCACUCAACGGCAAUGACCUUAUCAACAUCAUCAGCAGUAACUAUAUAUUCUGGAAACAUCACAAUGCAUGCAAACCAACAAAGGCUGUAGAAGAGAUUCGACUUGUUACCAUCAAUGUACUGCCUGGUGCCAUCAUCGAGAUGGCGGACCCACUGAAACAUGCAAAGAGAGGUUCCUCGAACCGGGUAUCCACAACCAAGGAGCCUUUCUCCAGGGCCUGUAAUGUUUGAAGUGAACACAUAUAUGAAGUGAGUCCGGUUAAAAAACAUUUAGAACACAAAAAACAUCAAAUUCGUAAUCAAUUAACCAACCAAAAUGAUCGAAACUUGAUUGUUAACCCGACUAACCGUAACCGAAUAUCUACCCUUGUUGACCGUAACAGACUGGCUGCGACGAGGCAUCCGAUUGGCUCGUCAACGUCAACAGCGAGGUGCUUGAGCGGUUCGACUCGUGGGUUGACGAGUUUGAGACGGUGCGGAAGGGGCAGGAGGAGGUUAGCGCGAAGGGGGCUUUGGAUGAAGAUGGGUUUCAGACGGUUUACGGGAGGAAUAAUAAGAAGAAGAGUAACGUCUGGAUUAAUCCGAAUAGCGGAUUAGCUGCGGCGGGGAGCUCGGGUGGUGAGAUAGGAGUUAAGGUUGCUGAUAAGAAGGGGAAUGUUGGCGGGAAGGCGAAGGUUCCGUUUCACAUUCCGUCGAUCAGGAGGCCGCAGGAAGAGUAUAGUAUCUUGGUGAAUAAUUCGAACCAGGCGUUUGAGCAUGUCUGGUUGGAGAAGAGUGCUGAUGGGACGCGGUUUGUUCAUCCCUUGGUAGGUUGAUCUUUGUAAAUCUUUGAUGCAUGGAUGAAGGUUUAAGCAUUUUGUUGGUUUUUGGGUAGUACGUGAGCUUCUUCACCUUCUUGGUUACUAUACAUUGCACAUUUGCUCAUUUGUUUGGAAAAAGAUGGUGAUCAUGUGUUAUUAUGCUUCUUGGUGUCUGGCUGUUCAUAUUUCUGUUAGGUUUGGCUGCAUGCGUUGUGAAUUGAAUGUUGAAGAAUAUCAUAGCUAUUUACUCGAUUCAUGGGCAGUUGUUUUUUAUGCUGUUUAUAUCAUGUUUGAGCAUUUCCACUUUGAUUGAUUGGAUAGUUUUGAAGUUCUUUCCUCAUGGACUGCUUUCUUUUCAAUCUUUGGUUAGGUCUGAUGCUUUCCAGUUGAUUUGUUAGAUAUUAAUUAUUGCUACAUGUGCAGGAGAAGCUUUCUGUUUUAGACUUUGUGGGCAAAGAUGCUGGUGAUAUUGAGCCGGUGGUUCCACCUGCGGUAGAGAGUACCCCAUUCAAGCUCGUGGAGGAUGUCAAGGAUUUGAAGGAGAUGGCAGCUAAACUGCGUGCUGUCAAUGAAUUUGCGGUAUGUCUUUUAUGAGUGAAAUGCUGGCUUGUGUAGUUGCACAUUUCAUUUGUUGACUUGAUUCUCCAUAACAUCAAUAUGUUAUAGUAAAAGAUUGACUAUGUUAUAGUAAACAUUCCAUUUAGUGAAAUUGAGUUUCAUACUAUGAUAUGUAGGUUGAUUUGGAACACAAUCAAUUUCGUUCUUUUCAUGGAUUAACAUGCCUGAUGCAAAUUUCAACAAGAACUGAGGAUUUCAUUGUUGACACUUUAAAGCUCCGGAUACACGUUGGUCCUUAUCUCAGGGAACUUUUCAAGGAUCCAACCAAAAAAAAGGUGCAUCCCGGAAACUUAUGCUGCCCUGCCCCACCGUUGAUUUCUUAUUUAAUAUUGGUAUAUAAUCUGAUUAGGUCCUGCAUGGAGCAAACUCAGACAUAUUGUGGCUUCAAAGGGACUUUGGAAUAUAUGUGUGCAAUAUGUUUGAUACAGGACAGGUUAGUAUUCUUUUAACGUAUUUAUUUUAAUGUGCCUAAUUUUUGCGGAGUUUUUGCUAACAAAGAGUAUGUCUUUCCAUGAUUACUCUGACUUCCACUUUUCAAUUGUUCAUAUUGGAGAGAAUAGUGUCUGUUUCGCUAGCAUACUCAUUUCCUGUUAUAUGCAACACUGAAACACCCGUGGCUUGCAGAUACCAGAAUGCAGAUUGGAGACUACGUCCUCUCCCUGUUGAGAUGGUUAGGUAAAUUUGUUUCUUUGUUGGUACUUUUAUAUAUCUACGUCAAUGCAUGGUGGGAAAUCUAUUUGCAUUCUUAAUCACUCAUAUUAUAGAAAGCUCUUUUCCUUGUAUUAUGCAGAUUCUGAUGACUCCUGUUCACUCUUUAUCAUGUUUUACAAUUUUGUUAUUGCUGUGUGAUGACAGAUAUGCUAGAGAAGACACCCAUUAUCUGCUAUACAUCUAUGAUCUAAUGAGAGGCUUGUUGCAUUCAUUGCCUAAAGAAGCUGAAAAUUCUGAUACGCCACUGGUGGAGGUACAGUGAUUGUCCAUUUACUCCCUUGAGAUGUUGCUAAGAUCCUCGUUAUGUUGCUUCUGUUGAAAUGUAUGCCGAAUAUAUAAUUACAUUUGAUUGUCAACUUUGGGGUAGGUAUCUUUUUUCCUGUUUUCUUUUUUGUUUUUGCUCUGUUUCUGGGGGUUGAAAGUUCCAUCCAUCUGGUUUAUUAUUGUUUCGUUACAGAUUUAAACCAUGUUAAGUAGGAUUUGUGCUUCUGUAUAUUUAUUCUGUCCCCAAAGAGUUAACCUUGCUCAAUGCUAACAGGUGUACAAACGGAGUAAUGAUAUUUGCAUGCAGCUAUAUGAGAAGGAUCUUCUUACGGAAAAUUCAUAUAUGCAUAUGUAUGGGUAUGUAUCACUCUCACGAAAUUUUUGCCUGUAAUGUUUGAAGUGAUUACUGAUUAGAAACUAACAAUGCUUCGUCUUGGCUUAAUUGAAUAGGUUGCCAAGUGCCAACUUCAGUGCUCAUCAGCUUGCGAUUGUUUCAGUAAGUUCUUUCUCAUCAUCUCGUAGACAUCAUGUGCCUGUUAUAAUAUCUUUCUAUUCAUGAGUCAAUCAUCGUCAUAUGAUACAAUAUGGUCACCCGUAGUGCUUAGAUUAUCGAGGGAAACAUUGUUCAGCAGAUUUUAUCUAGUAAACAUUAGCUUGAUUUUAUAUAAAUCGGCUUGCAGGGCCUCUAUGAAUGGAGAGAUGCUAUAGCCCGUACAGAAGAUGAGAGUACAGGUUAUAUAUUACCAAACAAAGUUCUGCUUGAAAUCGGUAAGGACAUACUACUUGUUAUGAGUCAUUUUGUGAUUUCUGGUUAUUUUGUGGCACGCUGACAUCUAAAGCUUUCUAUCUUUGAAAAUGAAAAAGCCAAGCAGAUGCCUGUAACAACCAGCAAGUUGCGUCGCGUACUCAAAUUGAAUCACCAGUAUAUUGAGCGGCAUCUCAGUUCUGUCGUUCAAGUUGUUCGACAUCAAAUGCAAAAUGCUGCUGCAUUUGAAACUGCUGUUCAGCAAUUGAAGGAAGUGGCAUUGGAAAUGGUACGUGUCAAUUAUCACGUUUGAAAGAAUCUCUUACUGCUGAAUUCGUGACACAAUUUGUUGGAAGUUCUAUCUAUUUUUUUUAGUCUGUUUAGCAGCGAGAGUUCCAUUGACGAGAUUCUGUUUUCUUGUGAAGGCCUCGCGACGAGAUAACGUUGAAGCAAAUGAUGAUUAGUUCAGGUGCAAAAGAAGCAAGGCGGCAUCUUCGGAUCAAUGCUUGGAAAUGCAGUACCGAAGAAGCGAGCUGAUACAGAUAAUAAGGUUGGAUAUCCUUCUCAAUCGUCUUUGAGUUCCAGAAAGUGAAUGAUUGUAUGCAUAUAACUCCGAUCCAUUUCGUUUAUAUUUCAAUGAUUGUUGUUUUCAGGAUCAAAUCGUCGGUCAGUCUUCCAUUCCACUCAUUUGCAGGAGGAAACGAGCGACAACCAAAACCAGCCGUGGAAGAAGCGACAGCUAGGAUUUCGCAAGAUGCACAUCCUGAAAAAUCUCCAGCUGCAAAGGACAUCAUAAUGUUGGACUCGGAGUCGAGCGUUGAAGAACUGGGUGAUUCGGAAAUGAAGGAAUCAGCGGAGUUUCCAUCCAAAGGAGACAAUGAAACUGAACCGGUUACUCUAUCUGAUCUGUCUUCGAGCUUCGACAAGUGCUGCCGGUCUAUAGACAAGAAGAGUGGAGUUGAUAAGUCUACUCAGGGAUCAAGCGAUGUACCCCAGUUGAAGCAGUUUGAUUACACUGCUGCGGCCAAGAAGCUGCUGAAGUUUGAGAAGGAGCCCAAGAAACCAGACGGGGCCAUCGAUGGGAAGAAAUCGCCGUCGGUGGAUCAGUCGUGUAAGAAGAGAAAUUCGGCCGGUGGUGGAAGCGUUGAGAAAGACGACGAUGGGGAUGAAUUCCGACAGGGUAGAAGGCGGCAGGCUUUUCCGGCCAGCGGCAACCGUAGCUUAAGCUACCGUUAAGUUCCCGCCAGUGGCAACUGUUAGAAUGGACAUAUAAGGAAAAUCCAGAAAAAAAGGAUGUAGAAAACUUUAUGAAAAUGAUGAAUGGAAACUGCGGGUGAUUCGUUUUUUGGUUUAAUUACGAUAUUGUUGGUUGUUUGUUUAAACAAUGAUUCAAGCUUGUGUAAUCUCGAGAUAAAAAAUUGUGACGAAACAAUAAAAUCCUGAGAUGAAAUAUGAGUCGAACGAGACUAGCUUUUCCCUGACUUGUGACACUUGAUGUAUCGAUAGAAAGGAUGAGGAAAAGAAGAUCUCCUUAUCGAAUUUUCAUUGACGGUGAAAAAGCUGGUUUAGUGACCGAUUUAACGUCGAAUUUCUCCAAGCUGGUUGAGUGACCGAUUUAACGUCAAAUUUCUCCGGCGGAAGCUAUAACCAAUAAUAACAAUUGGAACCCUAUUUCAAUUGAAAAUGCCGGCAACUUUGAAUUCCCGGAACCGCCAUCCGCCGUUGUUCGUCGCCGCUGAAAGAAGCUUGGAAGUUUGUCCAUGUGGUUAUCGGCGGGUAAGUCCAUCUUGUUCUCAUAUACUCGCGUUAGACAGGCUUAGCUCAGCAGAUUCUACGCUGGUGCUCCUGCGCUUUACUUCGGCAAUCCGAAUUUGUACGAGCCAACUCAAGCUGCGGGUAAUCGGCUAGAGCUGAAUUGCUCCAUAGUCGUUGAUCACCUUCACGAACUGAGAAAGGAGCCUGUCCUUGCACUUUCUUACUUUAAACAGGUGAAGGGAGGUGGGUUUCUUCACGAUGUUUCAACUUACGCUGCCAUGAUUAAGAUACUGUGUUUCUGGAGCUUGGACAGAAAACUGGAUUCCAUGCUCGACGAGGUUGUUCAAAUUCAAACGGAACUCGGUUUCGAGCUUGUUGAUUUGCUGCAGGUUCUAUCCGAUGAUGGCUGUGAUGUUUCAAAUGUUUUGGAUGCGUUGGUUAAACGUCUUCAAUUGCUUGAGAUGUUCGAUGAGGCUCAUGUGUUCUUGUACAUGUCAAAGACUUUGGGGUUAUCCCGAGCAUUUUCGCAGUUACUUACCUUAUGAAGCGUUUGAUUGAUUCGAACAGGGCUGAUGCUGCAGUAGCGAUUUAUCUGCAGUUAGAGACUGGCUUCGGAUUGAAACCGAAUGAUUACACUUUCGGCAUUGUUGUCAAGGCUUUGUGUAAGAAAGGUAGGUUGGAAGAAGCAGAGACUCUAAUCAGGGCAAUGGUAGAAAACGGGAUGACUCUGACUGCUUUCCUUAUCUCGACUUUUAUCGAAGGGCUAUGCGAUCAUAAUAGCCCGUUUUUGGGGUAUAAAGCUUUUCAGAGCUUUAUCGAAGCUGAGUUUCCCAUUGAUGCAUACGCGUUUACAUCGCUGAUUCGAGGGUUCUGUAACGUCAAUAAACUAGACGAGGCUAAGGAGGUACUUGUCGAGAUGGAAAGGCUCGGAUUCGUUCCCGAUGUGUAUGCUUAUGGUCCUGUGAUUCACUGGCUAUGCAAGGUCGGGAAAUUACUCGAAGCUUUGAGUAUUCACGACGAGAUGCUGUCGAAUGGAGGAGAGACGAAUUGCGAGGUUGUCAGCUCAAUUCUUCAAGGGCUGUCUAAUGCAGGCAUGGUUUCGAAAGUUUCGAAUCUGUUCAAGACCUGUAAAGAUACCGGUAUGUACCUCGAUAAGGUUUGUUAUAAUUUAGUAAUGAAGUCCUUCUGCACGUUAGCUGAUGUGGAAUCGGCUACCGGUUUACUAACCGAGAUGAAAGAGAAGCGUAUGGUUCCCGAUCUGGUUAACUACACGACGUUGAUCGAUGGUUACUGUAACGAAGGUAAACUCCGCGAGGCCAUGAAGUUCUUCGAAGAAAUGAAGGACAAUGGGAUUGAACCCGAUAUUAUCGUUUAUAAUGUACUUGUUUCUGGUUUCUCCAGAUUAGGUCAUACAGCGAGAAUCGAAAGGCUUUUAGCCUACAGAAGGAUCAUGGUAUUGAACCUACGAACGAUACUUACGGUAUCAUUAUCGAUGGGCUGUGCAAUGCCGGGAUAUUGGAAGACGCUAAAUCGUUCUUCUCCGAGCGGAUGAAUGAGAAAGAUAGGAGGGUUGGAUCUCUGUAACGCCAUGGUUAACGGCUGCUGCUGUAUGAAAAGCGUCAAAAAAGCGCUUAGACUGUUUGUUUCUGUGUCGCAACAGGGGUAUAUACUAAAGAAGAGUACUUGUUUGAAGGUUAUUUCCAGUUUGGAAUACGAUAUGGCGAAAUACGUCCAGCUGGCGGAGACGAUGCUAAAUCUAGAAGCGGAUUAUUCGUGUAUGUUAUGCAGCAGGAUCAUCGGAAAGCUUUCUCGUGCCGGAGAAAUGGAAAAGGCCAGAUACGUACUGCAUCUUCUCGAUCGGAGAGAGAUGAGCGCCGAUCUGGUGGCGUACACGAUGAUGAUACAGGGCUAUUGCAGGGUAAAUCAGCUGGAAGAGGGCUUCAAGGUUCUUGACGAAAUGAAGAAACGAGGGAUCGAACUGGAGAUUGUGACUUUCAUGGUUUUGCUCGACGGGGCGUUGAAGAAUUCUGACGGGAGCAGAAGGAAACAGGAGGCAGAUGAUUUUUAGAGGGGUGGAACCUGAUACUGUUGCAUAUACAGCUCUGUUAUGCGGAUACUACCGUGCUGGAGAUAUGGAGGGUGCUGGAGUUGUUCUUAAUGAGAUUUCGGAUAAGCAGUUGGCUCGCGGCGCUGUUAUUGAUUUGGUGGUGUUGAAAGGCACGGACGUGCAGUACCGUUGAUUAGUUGGUUUGAAGAACGAAGUUCUGGCGAGGAGAGUGCAGUCUCGAGCCGAUUUGCUUAUGGUUACUCUCGAGCCUGGCCGAUAAGCGUUACAUAUGUGCCCCAUCAGCCGUUUCAAGGUACUCAGAUAUUUUUUGCGGUUUGAACCAGUUUGUGAACUAUUCGGUUAGUUUGAUUAUCUAUUGAUGUUCCUUUUGAUAACCUGAAACAAUCUUGUAGCUUAUACAUGGAAUUUCAUGCUGUAUGAUUGGCAAAUUCAAUGAUUCAUCAGUAAAUGGACUUGUCAGCAGUUUCGUGUUGUUCCCAUGCAAGAUUCUAACCGUUGUUUUGUCGCUACCAGGUGUAUGAAUGAAGUUACGAACUCUGCUUGCGAAACUGUACAAGGAGGAGGAGAUUUUAAUAUAGGAUUCAUAAAGAGGAUGGAUAGUGUUUGGCAAAGUGUAUGUUCAUUUUGAUCAUCUGAUACUGCAUUGUACAUAUAUUGAGAAUCUGACCAUACUAGCAAGCAAAACUUACAGCCAUGUUCAUAACAGAAGAAGAUUAGCAGCUAAACACUGAGGUUAGUUCAGAAACUUUACUUUUUCUAAAGUAGAUGUUCUUCCUCUCAUAUCUGCUAACUACUAACCGAUCGGGAGAGCUUUCGAAAUGGCAUGAACGACCAAGUUAUCAGACGAUAAAAUCUCAGUCCUGAUAAUCUGGACUCCAUUGACGGUCAAUUGUCCUGCUGCUGCUGCUAUAGUAUUAUUCAGUUUCACCUCCAGGUUAUGACCUGGCAGCAGAGUCUUUAUAGGAGACGACGUCAUUUUGCACAGAUUCAUUAGCUCCUUGUAGGAAAUCCUCCGUGGCACGAUGUGGAAUCUGACGACUCUGUCCAUCGAAGAACCUACGACGACGACGGAGGAAUCCGGUGGACUGAAUAUGGUCACCGAUUUCAAGUCCUUGUAGUCUUUGUGGAUCCCGUCGAGGACAGAGUUCAAUCCGACGGCAAAUGCGACGAACCCCUUUGAGCUGAGCGACCGCACGAUCUUGGACCAGUGGACGGAGUCCGUGAGUAGGCUCGAGUUCCUUCCGGCGGCGUCGCAGGUAGCUGGAGAGAUAAGACCGCUGCCGGUGUCCAUGGACGAGAACAGCUGGCGGACGCCGUGGAUAACGACCGAACCUUCGAUGACGAUGUCGGGAUGAGAAAUCCUGACGCCGUUGAUCUCGGCGGCGCGAUUCUCGGCGUCGAUCUUGGUGACGACUAGGGUCUUGCCGUUGACAAGAGUGGGAAAGCAUGUUCCCGGAGGGAGUUUGAGAAUCUCGGACAUCGGGAGGCUGACGGGAGAGGUGUGGUAAAGAAGGAGCUGCUUCCGAAGCAACCUAGGAGCAGCGCGUACGGUAGACGGGUACGCGGGCGGAGAUGCGGCGACGGCAGGGGACAAGACAGAGUCUUGGACCGCGAAGACGGUGGAGUUUGCGGAGGAGAAGAAGGUGUCGGGGUUUGCUAGGAGGAGGGAUGCGGCGAUGGAGAAUCCGGCUUGUUGGAGGUAGAGUGUGGCGUUGGUGGAGAGAACCGUCGCCGGCUGUGCAGAGGAAGGAGGUGGCGGCGGGUGGAGUGGAGUACUGACGGUGGAGUGGAGUUGUGCUAUGGAGAAGGCGGUGAAGGCUAGGACUAUAGAGAUUGCGGCGAAGUAGAUGGUCGCUUUCCACCUCUGGAAGGACUGCAUUGUUAGGCGAGUGAGUGAGUUUUGGGUUGCUUCUUUAGUUCUUGAGGAGAAAGAUCGUUGAGUUAGACGGCGAACUGUUGACAUUGAUCGAUGAUAUCUGCCCUGGGAGUCGGAGUGGGAUUUCAUUUCAACAAAAAUGAAUGCGGACAUCUAUGUGGAUCGCUUUGAGCUGCAAUUCUUGGGCUUCACUGCUUCAUGGAAGCAGUCCCAAAUAAAACCAGAUUGUCAGGAAAAAAAAAAUGGGAAAGAGGAGGUUCAAUCCUACCCAGCAAAAUGGAAUUCCAACUCCCAUCACCAACUCGCUGCAACAGACCGAUUGUGAGAAACGGCGAAUAAUGUUGAGCUGGACAGAGGAUUCAUUCCACAGUACUCAAAUGCCACCUGCAAAACCGUUAGCCUCAACAACAAAAUGGUUAUCAAAAUUAAGCUUACGGAUCACUGUUACAGCUUUAUCACCACUGAUUCCUGGUUCUGUAGUUACAACAAUCAAAGGGUGAUGAGCCUGAAUAUAAUUCAACAAAACGGGGAUAAAAUUUUUAUGACCAACUCUCCGACAAUUCCACGAGAAAAAACUAAUUAUGAGAAAGAAUGACGAACUGAGUCACCCGGGAAUUAGCUAUCCGCUGAGACCACAACAUCCCCAAUCGGCUGUCUCAUCCCGUGAGAAUCAGAACUAACCCCUUCAACCACGUCAAGGCGAUUCAAAUUAAAAGGGAUCUUGGUCGUAGAGCUAGAUUGCUGUAUCGGAGACGACGAAAGAAUCUGUUGCCUAAUCGGCAAGGGAAUGCCAGGCGGAAGGCAUCCUUCUAACUGAAAAACGUUCACGAUCUUCUUCAUAUGUUGUUUCCUUUUUGCUUUGAUAGCUGGCUUAAUGCUCAUUGAAUCCACCCUAUGGGAACCACUUGAAAUGAUACCACCAACAUUCCUCUUGGCUUUUGUUUGAGCUGUUGGCCAAUAGAUGUCGUGUUGCUACUCUGCACAGGCGGCAUCAGCGGAGUUGGAAAGAGGGAAGUAGGAGGAGAACUUGAAACUAAUGGGGACGUGUAGCCCUCAGCGGUCAUCUCUUCCAUUAAUUCUCGAGCAGCAACCUUUUGAGACUUAUCCAGAAUUUCAAUAUCAGAGGGAGUUGUACGGUGAACCGUGGUAGGAGAGGAAGUAGAAAUAUCUAACUUAAUUGGCUUCUUUUGGAUUAAAAGGAACUCUGUGGGCUUGGUAGAAUUAAUAGGCUUAUCUGAAUAAAUUUCACAAUUGUUGCUGGGUUUAGGCUCCUGGCCCACCCCACCCCACCAGACUCUCUUGGGCCAGUAGAAGCCCCACCGUCACUGAUAGAACCCAUUAAUUUAGAAGAACCUGUCGUCAUCAAACCCUUAACUGGAAUGGCAACCUUCUCGCUGAUUUCUUACUCUAAAUAGACAAUGAUGGCACCGAGUCACCCUGCUUCUGUCCAGUUUCUGAAUUCCUCAAUUUAAUCUAUGUAUACCUCACCUCAGCAACCGCCUCGCCUCAAUUGGUUGAUUCUCGAGACAGCUCUCAACCCGACCACAAACGAAGCAAAGAGAAGGGAGGUUCUUGUAUCAAUGAAAACCCUUGUUUCAACUGCUUGGCAAAGAUCAAUUUCGACAACUAACCGGGCAAACUUCCCCAUAGCCGCAUAGAGCGUUCUCCAAUCAAUCCUAACGGUCUUACCAAUCAAAUUCCCCAACCCAAUUAGGAUUUCUUUAUGAUAAUAUUGAAUCGGCAGUUUAGGGAAUUUAAUCCAGACUACCAUGCUAGCUGGCAAAUCAUCAACCACUCUAAAAGUUGGAUCCCAACCGUGACACACCAGAUAGUGCUCAAGGAUCAUCCAAGGUCCUCCGGUUAGUGCAAAUUCAUAAUCUUGGGGGUUCUCAAGCGACACGAGGAAAACUUCGUUGCCCAAAUCAACCAUCGUCAUACGACUACCCGGGCGCCACAUAUCUCUCAAACGAUCGUACAUAUAGUGAAUAUCAAUGCUCUUCCCCACAACAAGAGUUUUCCGUAGUGGAGCACAAAUCCGAGCCCGGAGCUCCCCGGAGGUAUUCAAAUGACCAAAUCCAUUUUUACGGCUUAACACAAUAUCGUUAUCUCCCACAACAUCAGUAGCAUAAGACACUCUAUCUCCUCUACCUUCUUGCUCCCUUGGAAUAAUCGUAGAAGCAGGCGGAUUCACCUUUUCAGUCAUGACUACAUCAAAUCGACAUGAAGCUUCCGGUGGUCAGACCUCAGGUGACACCGGCAACGGAAGUUGGAAUUUUGUAGAAGAGGGAGAGGACAUGAGAGAAAAAGUUGACAAUUUAUUUGCUUAGGAAAUGGCUUUUUGUGUCAAAUAAUCAUCAAUGUUCAAUCUUUUCACUUGUUCAACCACUUUUACUUUGAAGUGCACAUAUCGUUGUAACCGGGACCGCCAUAGUAGGAACAAACACCAGCAACCUUGCUCUUUUGUUGGAUGGAAACGCUGUAACAUUCAGGACUGGUGACCACAGGAAAGACGUCGUCAGCAUCGUUGAAACGACCGGCUUCAUCGAAAUAUCCCAUGUGUCUAAUGAAGGCUGCUUUGCCCCAUCCUUCACUCGCUAAAUGCCCGCUUCCCAUUUCUGUACUUGUGUGGACUCCUUCCUGCUUUAACCUUGAAACUUCACCUCCCCAACUGAUAUAUCUCGCACCCUCACUUACCAACCCCCCAUUGUUGAAGAUUUCAACCGGCCAGUAUCCUAUGGCUUUAUCUUGUAUCCUCAGCCACCAAUUUCCACUCUUCAUGUCCUAACGCAACAGUUGGUGCACAACAUGCAUAUACUAGGUUCAGAUGAUGAUCAGUAUGUAUAUAUGUAUCGUAACUUAUCGUAUCGAACGUACCUUGUGGAUUUCAAAACUAAUCCCGUAUUGUUUCCCGCCGUAAGUGGAAUAUUUGAGGUCCGGUAGAGGCUCGCCAAAAGAUAUAUUGUAAUUUGUUUGUACAAAACCUUGGCAUUCCAAAUUGUAACAUCCUGUUAUGUUGUAGUUAUCACGCUGCCAAAUACAGAUUUUCUUUACGUUAACAUUAAAUUCAAUACCAAAGGGAAUAUAUAUGAUUUUAUACUAAUUACCACUUACGGUCCAAUGUAUGAAGUAACGUGUAUCUGUAAAGUUGCGAGAGUGACUCACCUGUUAAGAUUAAAGUAGGUGGUUAUGAGAUUAGUUAAACCAUUAACUAAUUACGAGACAAUUAAUGGGGAAGGAUACUCUAUAUUCAUCAACCGUCCAUUAAUACUUACCAUCCAACCUGCUUCAACAACAUUCCUAUGAGUGAAUUCGCCGGCCUCCACCCAAAUCUGAGAAUGGCUGUACUCAUCCAUCAUUACCUUUGGGUUAUUCGCACUCAAUACGGCCCUAGCUCCGUAGUAAAUAUCCCCAUCAAUUGAUACUUGAGCCUUCUGUUUAUUCAACUAGAAAAAUUUGAGUUCCAAAAUACCGAAAAUAAAUUUAGAAAAAGUGAUAUUACGAUUACGAGGACAGCCGAGUUAUUAAACAAAAAGUUAUAUAUUUUUAUUCAAAACUCAAUCAUAGCUAGAUCGAUAAAUAACUUCUUGAUCCGUUGUACAUGUACCUUGCACAAUCAAACUCUAAACUUAGAACAAGACAUUAAUUACAAUAAUACGGUUGAAUACACUAAACUGAAUUGUGUAGAUAUCAAAAUACACUCGGAAGAAACCUACCUCACUGUUGUAGGGUGUGCUUGCCAGAUUAUAUUCAGAACUAAAUUUCUUUCCGAGCUUAUUUCUUGAAAUUGGGAUCGUCCCUUGAGGACAAUGUACUCUAUUCUCCUGCCAGUUAAUUAUUUGCUUCGAUGAGUCUUUUCCUUGAACCGAAUCAGGAUACCAACUCGGUUUCAUCUGCAACAAAACCGAUCUGAUGACCAUCCACUAUAUAUGGGAUUAUGCAAUAUAUAUGGGUCGAAUCGGCCUAAUUAAUUACUUGUAGAAUGUGGUUGGCCAUGAGCGGAUGGUUCAAAGCUGGCUGCUUGUGUAUAUCUACACAGUCGAUAAUAUCACCACCUUUACUCUGUCAUAAUCCAACAUUAAUUCGUGAAUAACUUUGGAAUAAGAAUUAAAUACAGAGGAAAUUAAAGAAACGACGAACCUUGAUGGUUUUCAGUAUGCUGUCUUUCGCAACCAAACGCGCCCUGCUCACAGUUAAAAAAAGCGACAGUACUACUAUAACCAUCCAGCUACGAUUGGUCAGAGUCUCCAUUUUUUUGUUAUAACAUGUCGUAUUUUUUUUGUGAUUUAUAAUUGAUCGAAAUAACCAACUCGAUUUCUAAAGUCCUCCUCAAAUGGCUAAGCUAGUAGAUGGUACGUGAGGAUUAGGUACAACAUCCACUUCCUCAUGACAUUUCUAGAUGGUAUAUGAGGAUUAAGUAGGAAUAAUUAAGUUUCAUCUUGUUAAUUAGUUGAUAAAGUUUGAUAUAUGGUUGUUGUUAGUAGCUAAAGGAUGUGGAUGAGGGAGUUAGUGGGGCUUGGUAUCGGGAGUCAUAAGAGCAAGAAGAAGCCUAUAUAUAGUACUGUGGAUUAUGGACGAGUCCGUUACGAAUUAUAUAUGAAACGCAUCGAAAUCCAUAGGUCAUUAAGACCAAGUCCAUGUCUUAUGGCUGAAAUAAUUUCAUCUCCCAUCAAAUAAGUCUUUUUCCUUGGCUUUAGUUUCAAACCCUUUUAAGGUAGGGUUGGACUUCAUACCGUAUAUAUAAUAGUUAUCUUUUAUUUUAUUGUUGAGAUCCUUGAUUAUCGAAAUAUUUCUAUUAUUAAGUAAGAGAUAAUUAUAACAAAAUUAUCUAUUAUUAAGUAAGAGAUAAUUAUAACAAAAUUAUCUAUUAUUAAGUAAGAGAUAAUUAUAACAAAAUUAUCUAUUAUUAAGUAAGAGAUAAUUAUAACAAAAUUAUCUAUUAUUAAGUAAGAGAUAAUUAUUAUAUUUCAAUUUAGUUGCCUUGUGCGUAGGAGAAGGAUUUCGAUACAGUUCAGGAGAAGGGCUUUCUAUAUAUACAUACAUAUGUCUUUUCUUUUUUAGCUUCUAUGCAGUCGGCUGUUCAUUUCAGGAAGAAUUGAAACAGGAUUUAUGAAGUCUUCUAGUAGCAGAAUGUCGCAGCUGGGACUUACGGAUGAGAGGGUUCAGCCGCAGAGUUCCAACUCUAUACAGUUCCACCAGCAUGAUGUACCUGUUGAAGGAACGUCUACUCUCCAAUUGCCUCCAACUAAUGCAUUUGGAGGGACCAGUAGCUGCGCAAUUCUAAUUUCAUUCCUCGGGGGUUUAGGCAUCUACAAAUGGCUAUACCGUAAGCAACAUAAGAAAAAGAACAUUAAGCAGGAAUAAUUAAGUUUCAUCUGAACCUGGUGAUGGAGGUAUACAAGGUAAUGAGCAGACAUUGCAGGGAUGAAUCGUUCUUCAGGGACUACAGGAGUUACAUAGGAAGAUAGAUAGCUCUCUGUUUAGAUUCUAUACCCGUCUGUAAAACUGAAAGUCGAUAUGGAGGAUGAACCGAUGUAAGAAGUGGAGGGUUGUUAAGUUAAAGGUCCUGUUCGUAACUUUCAUAUAUUGUUGUUGAUAAGUUUGAUAUAUGGUUGUUGUUAGUAGCUAAAGGAUGUGGAUGAGGGAGUUAGUGGGGCUUGGUAUCGGGAGUCAUAAGAGCAAGAAGAAGCCUAUAUAUAGUACUGUGGAUUAUGGACGAG